rnacentral:rRNA from 1 species
GACGAACGCUGGCGGCGUGCUUAACACAUGCGAGUCGAACGGAAAGGCCCUGCUUUUGUGGGGUGCUCGAGUGGCGAACGGGUGAGUAACACGUGAGUAACCUGUCCUUGACUUUGGGAUAACUUCAGGAAACUGGGGCUAAUACCGGAUAGGAGCUCCUGCUUCAUGGUGGGGGUUGGAAAGUUUCGGCGGUUGGGGAUGGACUCGCGGCUUAUCAGCUUGUUGGUGGGGUAGUGGCUUACCAAGGCUUUGACGGGUAGCCGGCCUGAGAGGGUGACCGGCCCCAUUGGGAUUGAGAUAAGGCACAGACUCCUCCGGGAGGCAGCAGUGGGGAAUAUUGCACAAUGGGCGGAAGCCUGAUGCAGCACAGCCGCGUGCGGGAUGACGGCCUUCGGGUUGUAAACCGAUUUCGCCUGUGACGAAGCGUGAGUGACGGUAAUGGGUAAAGAAGCACCGGCUAACUACGUG